UACACAUCUUUCCUCUUGUUGUUCUGAGACUACGGCACCCAAUUUCUUUGAAAUUUUUGAUUGUGGAAGAAUCUAUUUUUGGUGCUCCCGUAGUAUUCGUACCAAGAUGGCGAACAACCUGAACAUAGUAUGUGUACCAGGUUAGGGUUAGCAAGUUGUGCGUCAUCUUGGCACGAAUACUAAGAAAGCGCCCUAUUUUUUUUGCUAGAAGGCUAUUCAUUACUUCUGUCUUUUUCAUAACUGUCCGUGGGCCGAUUAUUUUGAUUUCGGAAGGAAAAAGAUCUUUAGACCGUAUUUCAUGAAAGUUACGAGGCAACUUUAAAAACCUGAAGCAACAAAUAUUUACGAGCGAAGAUGGAGGGAACGCCAAAGCCUGAAUGCUAGAAUAACAGAUUUAAAUUUAAUGACGAUUCUUGAUAUUUCUCUGGAACUCCCCCCAGUCAACACCACACGAUCAAUUAUUAAAUAAUCUAUUGAAUCAAUUUCAUCAAAACAGAAAAAAAAUCACACAAUUCAGGAUCCUAUACAUGAAAAUGGCGGAAUGAGAGAAAAGUACUGAAACCCUCAUUUUCUGAAAGAAAAAUGAAGGAAUAAAUGAAAAAGCAAUGAAAAUAAGAUUCUUUCCACAUAAACCAAAGGAGGAGAGGAAAGCAUAUUAGAUUGUUUUAAUCAUGAUCACCGCUCAUCCUAUUACAAAUGUUUAUCGAGGAGAGAAAAGUUAAGACGGUUCUAUCAUUUGGCAAGCCACGCCCCUUUGACUACUCUUUUUCUACAGAAAAAGGGGAGGAAAAGUGGGUGAUUCCCCAGGAUUUUUUUUGCCCUUUGCAGAAAUAAACAAAUGAAAUACCCUGAAAAUUCAAGAAAACCGUGAAAUACAGCAGAAUUUCAUUUUUUAUUGGAAAAUAAUGACAAUUAAUCAUUUCGACUGAAUCAGCAUAAUCCUGUCAGCACCUUCAUUCUAUACAGCGGCAGUCAUUGGAAAUCAAAUAAAAAGUAUGAAAGAUUUAAGGAUUUGAGAAUAUAUGAAUUCUAAUUGUUGUCAGCAUCUCGCUGUGAUGGCAAUUCGUUCAAGCAUAGCCAUAUUUAUUACUAUUUUGAAUAAAUUCUGAAUUAACAAUUGCGCACACGGGAUAUCAUAUAUAUUCUGAUGAGAGCUCAAGUCAGGACAUCAGGAACACCCUGUAUAUCAGGAUGCAUUUCAAAUGAUGUCGUUACACUUGCAGAAUUAUGAACACUUUAUUCAGAUCAAAUUAUUCUGCCAGCUUUUAUUAUAAUAUAAACUGGACAUUCACACAAUAAUCAUAUUUUAUACCGGUAGGAACAAAUCUAUGGUUCAAUGCUGUAAAUUUUAUCAUCUAUUGUGCGAUAAAUAUCAACAACGUUAUUAAAUAUUCAAAAACAAAGAAUUAUUUGGAUCCUUAUAAUCAGUACGAAGUAUAUGACAUGGGCAAAUGAUUUGGCAAAUACAAGGAAAGUCAUGAUCGCACUUGAUCAGCAUAUAAAUUGGGUCUUGUCAAUUA